GCUCCGGUGGUGGAAUAGGUAGACACUUCAGACUUAAAAUCUGAUGACCGAUAGGUCGUGCCGGUUCGAGUCCGGCCCGGAGCA
rnacentral:tRNA from 2 species